GCCUGGGUGGCUCAGUCGGUUAAGCGGCCGACUUCAGCUCGGGUCAUGAUCUCGCGGUCCGUGGGUUCGAGCCCCGCAUUGGGCU
rnacentral:tRNA from 1 species